rnacentral:rRNA from 1 species
UACGAAGGGAGCUAGCGUUGUUCGGAAUCACUGGGCGUAAAGCGCACGUAGGCGGAUUUGCAAGUCAAGGGUGAAAUCCCGGGGCUCAACCUCGGAACUGCCUUUGAUACUGCAAAUCUCGAGUCCGAUAGAGGUGGGUGGAAUUCCUAGUGUAGAGGUGAAAUUCGUAGAUAUUAGGAAGAACACCGGUGGCGAAGGCGGCCCACUGGAUCGGUACUGACGCUGAGGUGCGAAAGCGUGGGGAGCAAACAGG